GAAAAAUCGUAUGGAAAUUCCGACGCAGAAUGAAAUAUUUUUCGAGUUAGAUUGGGAUGAAGGGGUUGAUAAUUUAUUCAUCAAAAUGUUUGCGCUACAGUGUGGUGCAGAUAAUACAUCGACAAUUACGCUUGCGAGAGACGCCAUUUCGCAUUCAUCAUGGACUCGAUUUCUCUCAUAAUUUUUGCAUUAAAAAAUUGGAGAAAGUUGAGCUUCGAUACGACACGUUCUAGUGGAUUUUAGGACUUGAUGUUGUUACGUACGACAAGAAAGAAAACAAGGUAUAUG
rnacentral:lncRNA from 1 species